AUGGAGAAGACUGAAUUAAGUCCUGAGAACUCCGCGGAGAGGUUGGUGAGGAGUCUGGUAGAUCUGAGUUGGGAAGUUUCAUGCUACCAGUCCUUACCCAGUGGAUGGUCCGCAGGUGAGCCUGGGUGCUUCAAGGACCUCUGUACAGAGCAUUCUGCAGAGCUCUCAACAGAACACUGUCGAUUAGGUCUAGCUGACUUUAUGAUAGUGCGAUAUCAUGAGAAAAGGAGUUGGUGGCAUCAGCCACAGAGGCCGUUCCCAUAUCCAGAGACUGGGAGCUGCUCCCUAGUGCUUCUGCUUCAGCUGAGCCACAGCCCUUCAGGUCAGCGUCCGUACCCUGAGGUCUUCUAUGGCAGCCCUGGACCUCCUAAUUCCUAGGUCUCUGGGGAUGCACCCAUCGACUCUCAGUUACAUCCCAACAGUGGAGGCUUCCGUCCUGGGACACCCUCAUUGCACCAGUACAGGUCACAGCCUCUGUAUCUGCCCUCCAGGUCCAGCCCCUCCCUCGGCACUGCUUUCUGGGGUAGCUCUCAAGGGCCAGUUUCUGGAUUUCUCAGCACUGCAAGCCACAGAGCUGGGGAAGUUGCCUGCUGGGGGAGUUCUCUACCCUCCACCAUCCUUCCUCUACUCUGCAGCUUUCUGCUCCAGCCCUUUGCCUGACCCACCCUUGCUUCAAGUACGCCAGGAUCUGCCAUCCCCUUCAGAUUUUUACUCUACUCCUCUGCAGCCUGGUGGCCAGAGUGGCUUCCUUCCUUCGGGAGCCCCUGCUCAGCAGAUGCUUCUAUCUGUGGUAGACUCACAGCUGCCAGUGGUGAACUUUGGCUCCCUGCCACCAGCGCCACCCCCUGCUCCACCCCCUCCCCUUUCUCUGUUACCUGUGGGUCCUGCUCUCCAGCCCCCCAACCUAGCUGUGAGGCCCCCACCUGCUCCUGCUGCUCGGGUCUUACCUUCACCAGCUAGGCCCUUCACCCCUAGCUUGGGGCGAGCAGAGCUGCACCCAGUAGAACUAAAGCCUUUCCAGGAUUACCGAAAGCUGAGUAGCAACCUUGGGGGUCCUGGGUCGUCACGGACUCCCCCAUCUGGAAGGCCCUUCUCUGGUCUCGAUUCCCGUCUCAAGACCCCACCUUCCACCUACAGUGGAGUAUUCCGAACUCAGCGCAUUGACCUCUACCAGCAGGCUUCCCCAACAGAUGCCCUGCUCUGGAUGCCGAAACCUUGGAAACGGGCAGGGCCACCUUCUCGAGAAGGGCCUCCCCGAAGAGCAGAGGAGCCUGGGUCCCAGGAACUAAAAAAACGUUCUCAUGUGGUUUGGACUGGGUGA